AACGUAGGUACCGAGCGUUAUCCGGAUUUACUGGGCGUAAAGCGCGUUCAGGCGGUUUGGCAAGUCGGGCCUGAAAUCUCUCGGCUCAACCGGGAGAGGUUGUCCGAUACUGCUGGACUUGAGGGCAGUAGAGGGUGGUGGAAUUCCGGGUGUAGUGGUGAAAUGCGUAGAUAUCCGGAGGAACACCAGUGGCGAAAGCGGCCACCUGGACUGUACCUGACGCUAACACGCGAAAGCUAGGGGAGCGAACGGG
rnacentral:rRNA from 1 species